rnacentral:lncRNA from 1 species
CUGACUCUUCCACAGUCCCUCGUUAUAUAAUUUAGUACGGGAGAAUAUGCCCGUUCGCGGGUUAGGCGUUGACAGCACACGUCGGAAAUGCGAGGGACUGUGGAAUCGUGUGUCGAAAAGUUGGCAGAAUAGUCGAAAACUCGGCAAUCGGGCAAAAUUGACAUUUUUCUCAAAUAUGAAUGAAUUUUUGGACGAAAACGGGACGAUGCAGGCUUUAGAAAACUCUUGGAUGGAUUAGUGUGACGAAUUAGAUGUCUAAAUGGAAAAUUUAUCUCUUUCUGACGUAAAUUACGGUGAGUGCUGAUAGUUUGUUUAUAAUAUGAAAGCCUCGAUGAAAGCCAUAUGUUGGCGGAUGUGCCAUGGAUUAUAUAUUAAGGAUGUGUAUCUUAAAAAUAUGAACAAUUAGCGACUAGGUAUAUGAUAAUUGUAGUUGAUCAAGUAGUAAUUUUGCACACACUUUUUUAGAUAUAGAUGACAUAAAAAAUUUGCUUUCAAACUUGGAAGUCUCUGUUUUGGUCCUCAAUGAAAUAUGGGAAACUAUCCUAUCCACAUAUAAAUAUGCCUGUGGCGAUAUAUCUGGUAUUAAAGCUAGCUGAGUAUAUACAUCGUAAUUGGUAACUUGAUGGCUGUUGCUUUCCUGUAUUAAUGGCUGGGUGUCUUGUUGAACUGGUACACUUUGGAAGUACUACAUGUUUAUAGAAAAAUAAAAUUAUAUUUAAUAAAUAUUUAUUCAGUUUCUAACACAUAAAUAAAAUAUAAUACAAUGGUAGGUUAAAAAAAUGCUGUAUAUAUUGUUGCAAACUAAAUAAAUAUCAAUCUAUUAUAGAGCUACACCAGAUUCUUGCUGUUAAAUGUUAUACUUUCUUUGUGUCAUUGGCAUUAAUUGCAACAAAUACCAACAAUGCAAAAACAAGAUACAAAUUGUGCAUUGACCAGUAUUUAAACAGUGUACUGCAUUGACUAAUAAAAAAAGUUAUUUGAUAAACUUAUCUGGUAGUAAUUUACUCUGUCUAACAUAGUUCGGAAAGGGUCUGUAUUAUAUCUCCUAUUUUAUAAAUAUUCCCCCUAUUACAGACUGUUAAUUAAUAACCUCUUUCAGAGAGCAAAAUUUGACAUUUGGACUUGUAGUUUAAUUAAUUAAAAACCACUUGUUCUGUAAUUUCUACGAUGGUUUUCUUAUCACGCCCCUCUUUAAUUAACACAUCCUCUUUUAGUAACCUCCCCCCCCUCCCCAUAACAAAACAUUUUUUCAAGGUUUAUCCUCUUGAAGCAAGGAGGUUUUAAACUAUGUCUAAUCAAGGAUGGAUCCAGCAUGAUUUAGUAGGGGGGGGGGGGUGCUCUACCAGCUCUGGUGCUGAGUUGUGUCUGUCAUGUGUGCCGCCAGCCCAUCAACUUGCUUCACUACUGCAAAGUCUUGCUUCACUACUGUAUUUGAAUUGUUGUGCACAGUUCGCUUAUCAUCAUGUUAUUGUUCAAAUUACUGUAUCUCAUUUUGUCUCUAAUAUUUUUUCCCUUUAUCAUGAAAAAUAGCAUGCCCCCCCCCUCUGGCCAGGGUAGGGGGAUGCACCCCCACUCCCCCAGUAAAUCCUUCCCUGUGUCUAAUGGCUAUGUUUUUGUUUGUCAUACAAAUCCACACAAAAGUCUAUAUUCCUCUUAUUAACAUUAUGGUUGAACAUAGACUAUCACACUGAUAACAAAGUAGCCUGCCUCGCAGACAUCCUUAAAUGGCUCAGAGCCAUAAGGAUGUGUGUGAGGCAGGCUAAUAACAAAGCUAUGGCUAAAGUUAUAUAAGCCACUGCUAGCCAGAGAAAUGUACUGUAAAAGAAGGAGAGUGCUAUUCUUGACUUGUAGCUAUGUGGGCUGAAUCAUGUUGGUGCCAUUUUUUCAAAAGGAUCUCGUUAUCUUUCAUUGAAUUUGGCACCAAAAUGGCAGCUGUUAAUUGUCUUCUAACUCUCAAGGGUUGGUUGCAAGUCAAGAAUACCAAGAAUAACCUCUGACUAUAAGCCCUUGGCUUAUAUUCUUUUUUAAGCAAUUUUUGAUUGGCUUAUACAGUACAUGGGUGCUCUUUUCAGUCUUGUGUUAGUAUAUAAUAAACAAGUCAGUCAUAAACAGGAAAAUAAACAUGUAUUAAUAACAAAUAAAGACAAUGAUUGGGGGUUAUAUUCAGGGGGGGGGAAGCUGUAACAAAUUUGAGCUAUUCUAGGUUCAUAUUUAUGUCUCGAUUUAAGUUUAUCUUUGUAAAAGAGCAUUCAACCACAAUAAUGUUCCCUUCAAUGUUUCCAUGUGUUGCAUCCAUUGUUUGUUUGGUAUACCAACUGAUAUU